CCUACGGGAGGCAGCAGUGAGGAAUAUUGGUCAAUGGGCGCGAGCCUGAACCAGCCAAGUAGCGUGAAGGAUGACUGCCCUAUGGGUUGUAAACUUCUUUUAUAAAGGAAUAAAGUGAGGCACGUGUGCCGUUUUGUAUGUACUUUAUGAAUAAGCAUCGGCUAACUCCGUGCCAGCAGCCGCGGUAAUACGGAGGAUCCGAGCGUUAUCCGGAUUUAAUGGGUUUAAAGGGAGCGUAGAUGGUUUGUUAAGUAAGUUGUGAAAGUUUGCGGCUCAACCGUAAAAUUGCAAUUGAUACUGGCAGUCUUGAGUACAGUUGAGGUACGCGGAAUUCGCGGUGUAGCGGUGAAAUGCAUAGAUAUCACGAAGAACUCCGAUUGCGAAGGCAGUUUACUAAACUGCCACUGACAUUGAGGCUCGAAAGUGUGGGUAUCAAACAGGAUUAGAUACCCUUGUAGUC
rnacentral:rRNA from 1 species